rnacentral:snRNA from 1 species
GUCCUGGCAUCGGCAGCGCACAUACUAAAAUUAGAACAAUACAGAGAAGAUUUGCAUGGCUCCUGCGCAAGGAUGACGCGCAAUUUCAUGAAGCAUUCCAUACAAAA